GUUGUUCGGAAUUACUGGGCGUAAAGGGUCCGUAGGUGGCUUGCUAAGUCAGACGUGAAAUCCCUCGGCUUAACCGGGGAACUGCGUCUGAGACUGGCGAGCUUGAGUGCAGGAGAGGAACGCGGAAUUCCAGGUGUAGCGGUGAAAUGCGUAGAUAUCUGGAGGAACACCGGUGGCGAAGGCGGCGUUCUGGACUGCAACUGACACUGAAAGACGAAAGCCAGGGGAGCAAACGGG
rnacentral:rRNA from 1 species